rnacentral:lncRNA from 1 species
GGCCAAGGGAAAUGGCGACCCAGCCAGUAUAAGGUGAUAACACUUGUUAGGGACAGCCAAGACAUUUGUCUCAGUCCCUUGCUUGUCAUGCCUGGAGCUCCCAAUCAGCAUACACAUCAGGCUGCGAUGUGAAGGGAAAUGGCAAGGAGACGUUCAGGAUGUUGAGUUACGUUGGCUACUUCUUGCAGAUUCUAGCAAAAUCCUGUAAGAAAGCGAUGCAGUCAGAAAAGAUCUGUCAGCAGGGAGGGAAGCAAAGGAAUUGUUCUGAGAUUUUCCUGGCCGGUCCUCUGAGGUCUGAGUUGCCUGAACGUUUCCAUCAUUUGGAGAAUUUCUGGAGUGGGAAGCAGGGAGGUGCAGGCCUAGCAAGAGGCAGGGCUGACGGGACUGGAGCCCCAGCUCCCAGACUCCCCUUGUUCAGCAUGCCGGGACAGGCAGGCCUGCGGGCAGCCAUCCCAUCACCAGGGGGCCGCCGCCCUACCCAGCGCUCUGGCUUUGAAUCACCCCAGAGCAGCCGACGGGCAGCUAAGGAACAUCGAGGGUAUUUUAACACUUUAUUUUCAGAUUCUGGACCUUGCGGGGGGCCUCCUGCUUAGCAACAUGCAGCAUCGAAUCAGUUGAUCAAGGAUCCAAGCAUCACAGCCCUCAGUGCGGAUGUGGAAGGAAAUCCAGCCAGAUUCUGCUCCAAGAUACAGAUCAUGCACUAGCUAUAUAAGGCCCAUUUGAAUCAUCCACGCUCUUGUUCUCAAAAUGGCUUCUAACACAACGUAUGCCCAGACAUAACAAGGUCAUUUUUUCUAAUCCAAAUUGCAAUUCCAGUCCAAGAAGUGUAUUCAUUUGCAUGAAAUAUUCUUUCCAAGAAGUUCCUCCCAGGUGAGGAAUUUUAAGUGCGCUUCUUUCGACAGCAAAGGCAGACAAAUGGCUUCAGCUGGUCAAGGCUUAUAUUUCUCGCAGGAUAUUCCAAUUGGUUUCUCACUCCAUGGGAUCAAUAAACAGCCUGGCUUAUAUGCA